AGAAACAGUGCUAAUGUAAUAGGUUAAAAUAUGUAUUGUUUGAAAAAACUCUGGGAAAAAGAACUUGCUGAGUUUAAGAAAACAACCAAUGCAGAGGUGUUUUGCUAAUGAGCACGAUCAGAUGAGUUCACGCCGAGCCGUAUAGACAAAGGAGAAACGGAUCUGGAGGCUUGAUGGCUCCUGCAAACAGCACCUGUCUUCUCCAGUUGGGAGGACUAUGAGGAGAAGAGCAAAGGGGAGGCAGCCAGAUCGCUGCUCCUGGAGACUGCACCCAAGGACACGUGCACUGACCCCCUCAGAUACAUGAGGGGUGGAGACAGUAGGCUGGCGAGUCUGAUGGAAGAGAUGCUCUGGAAAAUUGCCAGCCAGAGGCACGUGCACACGUGGGCGUGAUCUACACAGGACUUAGUUUCAGUGAGUGUGCAAUUGCUUUCUAUUAAAAUGCCAGGCAUUUUUCCUUUUUAAAAAA